rnacentral:rRNA from 1 species
GUGAGGAAUAUUGGUCAAUGGGGGCAACCCUGAACCAGCCAAGUCGCGUGAAGGAUGAAGGUCUUAUGGAUUGUAAACUUCUUUUAUACAGGAAUAAAUUGGGGGACAUGUCCCCUUUUGCAUGUACUGUAUGAAUAAGGAUCGGCUAACUCCGUGCCAGCAGCCGCGGUAAUACGGAGGAUCCGAGCGUUAUCCGGAUUUAUUGGGUUUAAAGGGUGCGCAGGCGGGAUGUUAAGUCGGCGGUGAAAUUUUGCAGCUCAACUGUAAAAGUGCCUUCGAUACUGGCCUCCUUGAGUGUGGAUGAAGUUGGCGGAAUUUGUGGUGUAGCGGUGAAAUGCUUAGAUAUCACGAGGAACUCCGAUUGCGCAGGCAGCUUACUAAGCCACAACUGACGCUCAUGCACGAAGGCGUGGGGAUCAAACA